rnacentral:lncRNA from 1 species
CACUCCUCCCCGUCCCCUCAGCCCCCAAAAAGGAAAAGGGGGCUUCUCCCCCACGGAGAUCGCAUCCCAAAUAUGACUUUGAAACCUUUUCCCCGUGUCACGAAGCACUGUUAAAGGGGAAGCGCGGAUAACCGGGGAAUCUAGAGGGUUGCGACCCCGCGUGGGGAUGAGGCCUGGUCUUGUGGAAACUGAACUUAGCUUCGCGGGGCUGACAGCUCUGGUCCAGGGUGGUGGCAGUGCUCCCCUUUGGACUUUUCCUCUAGGUUCCGUGCUAACUUCUGUGAUCCCACUCUGCCCCUCCUCCUCUUAACUUUCUCGAGGUUAUCCAUUCGCUUAAAACAUUGCCUCUGGUAACCCGGUAAGCCUGGGAAAGCUGCCAAAGGCCCUGAGAAGUUCGGUUCUGUUGGUAAUCCGCGAAGGAGGACAGGCCUUCCCUGCUGAGACUCGGGUGGGGUGGGGUGGUGUUGCUUGCCUGCGGAGAGGGUGGGGAUCGAACGUGUUCCUCGGGUGGGCCUGCCGCAACGG